AUCAUCGCGUCUCUCCGGCUGAGAGCACCGAUUUCUUGAUUACUAACAAAGUAACAGAGAUAACAAACUCCACUGAAGAGAUAACAGGAGAGCAACUCGCACAAAAAAUGAGUACAUUAUUCUCACACCAUGACAAGAGGACAACAGUGGAGCAGAUCAAGCAAGACAAGUCACCCUUGUCUGCUAAGAAAAACCAGGAGAAGCCAGCUGGCAAACUCUGUAGCAGAUCGCAGGUCAUGGGUGUAUCCUCUCGUCUAUGUCCA